rnacentral:rRNA from 1 species
UACAGAGGGGGCAAGCGUUAUUCGGAAUUAUUGGGCGUAAAGGGCGCGUAGGCGGCCUGACAAGUGGAUGGUGAAAUCCCUCGGCUCAACUGAGGAACUGCCUUUGAAACUGCAAGGCUUGAGGCCGGGAGGGGGUAGCGGAAUUCCCAAUGUAGCGGUGAAAUGCGUAGAUAUUGGGAGGAACACCAGUGGCGAAGGCGGCUACCUGGACCGGUUCUGACGCUGAGGCGCGAAAGCGUGGGUAGCAAACAGG